rnacentral:rRNA from 16 species
CACAGCAUCGAGUUCAUUGGGAAAGUUAGGAUGAGGAAAGUCUGCAAAAUCAGCCUUAAUCUUAGGCACACCGGAUAGUGGGUCGA